rnacentral:rRNA from 1 species
UAGGGAAUCUUCCGCAAUGGGCGAAAGCCUGACGGAGCAACGCCGCGUGAGUGAUGAAGGUCUUCGGAUCGUAAAACUCUGUUAUUAGCGAAGAACAAAUGUGUAAGUAACUAUGCACGUCUUGACGGUACCUAAUCAGAAAGCCACGGCUAACUACGUGCCAGCAGCCGCGGUAAUACGUAGGUGGCAAGCGUUAUCCGGAAUUAUUGGGCGUAAAGCGCGCGUAGGCGGUUUUUUAAGUCUGAUGUGAAAGCCCACGGCUCAACCGUGGAGGGUCAUUGGAAACUGGAAAACUUGAGUGCAGAAGAGGAAAGUGGAAUUCCAUGUGUAGCGGUGAAAUGCGCAGAGAUAUGGAGGAACACCAGUGGCGAAGGCGACUUUCUGGUCUGUAACUGACGCUGAUGUGCGAAAGCGUGGGGAUCAAACAGG